rnacentral:sRNA from 1 species
CAUAUCUCUCUUACGGGAAGGAUGAGAAGCUUCGACUAAGGUUCGAUUCGAGCGAAAGCGAGAAAGCGUUGCCG